UUUACAUAACCAGAUUCAAUCUCACGCUUUUCUUACACAUUCCAUUAACAGAGUGUUACCCCGUGAAGGGGCCGUGCACAUAGAAUGUCAUCUAAUUUACCUGGACAAAUAUACAAACAUAGUUUUAAACCUACCUGUUGGCCAAGUCGGUGGAUUUAAUACAAGGCGAAACUUCUGUCCGAUUUCUGGGUGCAGUUGCCUCAUCCAUCUGGGCAAUAAAUAAGGUGGAUUUCUGUUUAGAAAUAUAAUAUUUUUGGGACAUUUAAAAUGCCGAUUUAACGCGAUUCUUCCCUCGGGAUGAAUUGUGGAUUGGAUGGAGACAAAAUGAGGUUCGGAUGGUUAUCGCCAUUCGCGCAAGAUAAAACGUACAUUGGAAAACUUUAAAAUCGUGCAAAUCCAUCCAGUCAAAUUAGCGAAAACUACAUGCAUAUAUACAUGUUCGCACAAAUAAAAGUAAAAUAAAUUCGACCAGUUUAAGAUUUUCAGAUUUAAAUUUAUAACGGAACAAUUACGUAACCCUAAUUGUGAGUGAAUAAUUAUAAAAAACAGUGUUCAUCACGACCAAAGUUUCAACAAUUUGAGUCCAGACAUUUUUCAGAAGAAUGGAACUGAACGCAAUGUGUCUCGCCUUUCCAUCAAAUCCCAACGACAUGAGGAGGAACGUUUCUGAAUUAGUUAAGAUAAGUUUUAAAAUAUUAUUUGUUAUCUAAAUUUAAGCUCAUCGCGUUGGGCAUAUUGGUUCCUUUAGUGACAGAAAUUGCAUAAAUUGACAAGUUUUAGACUAAAUUGUCAACGGCACUGGUCAGAAAUGAAAAUAUCGUAUUUCCACGUACAAAUUAUUUAUUAAUAAUUCCCUCAGAGAAAAAGGUAUUACGCAAAAUGGAAAAUUUUGCUCUAUCCUAACUAAUUUAUUUGUAAAGACCGUUCUAUUUUUAUUAUAUGGAACUAUUUAUCAAGACACAAGCUAUAACGGCGCAUGAGUGACAAUGAGCGGUAUUGCUCAUAAGAAAAAUAUCUAUUGUCACGCGUAUCCUGGAGAUUGUUGCUACAUAACUAUAUCGUAAUUGGUUGAUUGAUUGAUUAAUUAAAUUCCUACAUGAACCCUUUCCCCUCCAAUUGCCCAUGGCGUUACAAGAAUUUAAAAAUGCAAGCAUCAUUUUGCACAUAAGUAGUUUUUUAUUUAAGGAUUGAGCCAAUAAGGCUGCAUAAUAAUGUUGAUAUCAGUGUAUUAUUGUUAAGGAAGGUGU